CCCUUAGAUGUUCUGGGCCGCACGCGUGCUACACUGAGUAAUUCAAUGGGUAAGGGAACGCUAGAGCAUUACCUAAUCUUGAAAUUUGCUCGUGAUGGGGAUCGACGGUUGCAAUUUUCCGUCGUGAACGAGGAAUACCUUGUAGGCGCAUGUCAUCAUCAUGCGCCGAAUACGUCCCUGCCCUUUGUACACACCGCCCGUCGCUCCUACCGAUUGAGUGAUCCGGUGAGGCUCUGGGACCUGGACGGAAAGAGCGUUUCGCUUGUUCUGUUUGGGAAACUUGGUCGAACCUUAUCAUUUAGAGGAAGGAGAAGGCGGAACA
rnacentral:rRNA from 1 species